UCCCCGGUGGUCCAGCGGUUAAGACUCUGUGCUCCCAAUGCAGGAGGCCUGGGUUCAAUCCCUGGUCAGAGAA
rnacentral:tRNA from 1 species